rnacentral:misc_RNA from 1 species
CAAGCAAUACAUCCAUUGCAAUGAACAGAUAGGCAAAAUAAUUCUAAACAAUUACUUCAAAAACUCAGAAAUUUUUAUUAUAUUAUAUUUAUAAAAGUGGCGCUCAUCAAACUUUGAAAUGUGUAUGUAGUUUAAAUGCCAACACGACACCCUAAUUUAUAUGAAAGUUAUAAAAAAAGUGUUGCACAAAACCCACAGGUUUUCUGAAGUUGAGUAUACAUAUGCAAACAAACCCAAGUAUAAUUUUUGCAUAUACAUAUGUAAAUGAGGGUGUGAGUUGGCGGUUAAGAAAUAAACUACGGGUAUUUUGUAAAAUGGGCAAAUUAUAUGAACAUGCAAUAUUAGAGAAAUUUCGUAGCAAAGUGUUAAUUAUUUAUCGAACAGAAUAUGAGGAACAUUCAUACACUUUCGACGUAGUAUUAAAGGAAGUAACCCGUGUUCUACAACAAUUUGACUAUUAUAACAUAACUCCUAACACAGGCAUUGCAUUGCGAUUACAAGCUCAUUCACCUUAUAGUAUUGCUCUUAUCCUCAGCAUCCUCAACCACAAUUGUUACUUUAUUCCUUUGCAUUUUACAAAUAUAAACUACAAUUUCGAUAAUGUUUUAAAUGCACAUGGAGCAAAAUAUGUAAUAAUGGACAUUAAAUGUGAUAACCAAAAUUGCAAACAAAUUGGGAUUUUGAAUAUUAUGGAUAAUAAAAUAUACUUGUUUCAAAACAUAUCUAUGGAUAGAAAAAUAUAUGGUGAGGUUAAUGAUCUUUGCUAUAGUAUUUCAACAUCAGGGACUACAGGACUUCCGAAAAUCGUACAAGUUCCGUAUUCUUGUGUGGAACCAAAUAUAUUAUCUUUAUGUACACGGUUGAAAUUAUCGGAAAAUGAUGUAAUAUACUUGUGUGCGCCACCCACUUUUGAUCCCUUUGUUGUAGAUUUUUUUUUGGCACUAAUUUCAGGAGCGUCUUUAUUAAUAUGUCCAGCUGACUUGAGAUUAAAUCCAAAAAAAAAUAUAAAUAUACUAUGGCCUAAACAUCGGGAUACACAGGUUUUAAAAGGAACAACUAUUUUGCAGGCAACUCCUUCCUUUUUUCGUUUAUUCGGAGAAGAUAUCAUAAAAGAAGUCAUAUUACAUGAAGACAAUUCAUUGCGAUGUUUAAUUUUAGGUGGAGAAGACUUUCCUAGCAGAAAGGAAUGGGAUUCUUGGUUGCCGACGAUACCUUUAAAAAAGCGCAUUUUUAACAUUUACGGUAUAACCGAAAUAUCUUGCUGGUGCACAAUACAUGAGUGCGAUUUUAAUGAACAAUGGGAAAGAGCUUCUAUUGGUAGCGUCUUAGAUAGUCAGACUACUUUACGCAUAACCGAUGCAAAUGAAAAGGAAUUAUUGGGAUCAUGCGAGGGAGAGUUAAAAAUUGGUAGUGCAACUCGAUUGUGUUACAUUCCUUCCACGGAUGGUAUGUUACGACCUAAAAAUAAUGAGAUGUUUUUCCGCAACACUGGCGAUUUGGUGUUCCGUGACCAAUAUGGGAGAAUAUUUUAUUUAGGCAGGACCGAUAACAUUAUUAAACGAAUGGGUGUUCAACUAAAUCUGGAAUCUCUACAACAAAGGAUUCAAAACAUCUUAAAUAAUAAAUGCAAAAAUGUUAAAUGUCUUUGGCAUGAAAAAACACAUAAAUUAGUUUGUUUUAUACAAGCCAAUUCAAAUGUUGAUGGAACAGAAUUAAAGCACAUUCGACGCCUUUUAAUAGAAAAUUUGAUGGAAAUGGAACGACCGGACGAUAUAGAAUUUAUUUCGUCAUUCCCUCUAACCGAACAUGGGAAAAUAGAUAGACAUUGUUUAUUGCAAAAAAUUACGAACAAAAUAUGUACGAUUUCGGAGAGUUGUGAAGAAAUUUUUCAUAGAUUUAUUACGGAAGUUUUGGGAGUCAAUUUGAUGAAACAGAACGCAAAAACCACUGACGCAUCUAUAGAUAGUAUGCAGUAUUUAGACAUGUCGUUUAUAGCGGCAGGUGGUACAUCUUUUCAUGCGAUUACGUUGGUUAGUCGUAUUGGCGCGAUAAUGGAGCAAUGCGAUCAAAAUGAACUAUUAGGAAUGCUAGUAAGUUCUCAGCAUUCAUUAAAAUCGAUUAAAAACUUUCUUGUUUCGUGCCAAUUAUCGAAAGCACAAAAUUUACCUAAAACUUUGUUAGUAAAUUCAAACAGUUAUGCAAAAAAACGGCUUAAGUUUAUUUGGCGCACUAGUCUGAAUAAAUGUGUUGAUUCAGCACCCUCUAUUAUUGGUAGUAAGUGGGUAUGCGUUGGUUCACACUCACAUAUUUUAACAAUACUUGACAUAAAUCUAGGGAGUCCUAUUGCUGUACUGGAAUUGCCAGACAGAAUCGAAUGCAAAGUGGAGAUUGUUUCAAAUGUUAAUACCCCCUAUUUAGCAGUAGUGGGUUGCUAUGAUCACAAAUUAUACGCGUUUAAUUUCACAAAUGGCCACAUUUACUGGAGUAUCGGCUUAGGUGGAUUGAUUAAAGCUAAACCUUUGACCUGCGCAGCUGGACUGGUUAUAGCGACUUACGGCGACGAGUUUAAUGUUGUUUGUAUUUCUUUGAAGGAAUCUAUGCCAACCCAAUCGCAAUUAACUCAUACACGAUAAUUAUUUGUACCCUGGAUGGGAGUUACUGCAAGAUUAUUUCAAAUUCUGGGAAAUUAGUGUGGCUAAGAAAGUGCGAAUCACCGAUAUUUUCGACACCGGUUACAGUUGGCGAAGAUCAUAGAAUUAUUUUAGCAGAAGUUUCUGGAAAUGUACACAUUUGCAACGCGGAAAACGGCGAAUUGAUGCAAACAUUUCGUGCUGGAUCUUUUAUAUUUUCUGCUUUGACUAUUCUAAAGGAUAUUCGAAGUAAGGGAAAAGUCUUGUUUGGUUCCUACGAUAAAUAUGUUUACUGUUUACGGUAUCAAAACUCAGUUGAGAAAGAGCAGCGGAAUUCGUGUAAACUAGAUCUGCUUUGGAAGAAUCAACUUGAAAGCAAUAUAUUUGCAUCGCCUUUAGCAGUUUCUUUACAAGACGACGAGUACGUGUUGUGUUGCUCCACCAGUGGAUUAAUUGCAGUUUUGCAAGUUGAAACUGGUGAGAUGAUUACAAAAUAUAAAUUGAGUGGUGAGAUAUUUUCAACUCCUUGCAAUUUGGACAAUCAAAUUUUUAUAGGUUGUAGGGAUAACUUUUUGUACUCAUUUAGCAUACACUAAUUGAAAAAAUAAACAUUUAGAUU